GACGGAGGAUGCAAGCGUUAUCCGGAAUGAUUGGGCGUAAAGCGUCCGCAGGUGGCAGUUCAAGUCUGCUGUCAAAGACCGGGGCUUAACUUCGGAAAGGCAGUGGAAACUGAACAGCUAGAGUAUGGUAGGGGCAGAGGGAAUUCCUGGUGUAGCGGUGAAAUGCGCAGAUAUCAGGAGGAACACCAGCGGCGAAGGCGGCGCUCUGGGCCGGAACUGACGCUGAGGAGCGAAAGCGUGGGUAGCAAACAGG
rnacentral:rRNA from 1 species